rnacentral:rRNA from 1 species
GACGAACGCUGGCGGCGUGCUUAACACAUGCAAGUCACGGGGGCCCGCAAGGGUAACCGGCGAACGGGUGCGUAACACGUGAACAACCUGCCCUCGUGUGGGGGAUAGCCAUGCUAACGCGUGGGUAAUACCGCAUACGGUCCUUUGGGGGAGGUCCCUGGGGGAAGAAAGCUCCGGCGCACGGGGAGGGGUUCGCGGCCUAUCAGCUAGUUGGGGGGGUAAGUGGCCCACCAAGGCGACGACGGGUAGCUGGUCUGAGAGGANGGCCAGCCACAUUGGGACUGAGAGACGGCCCAGACUCCUACGGGAGGCAGCAGUGGGGAAUCUUGCGCAAUGGCCGAAAGGCUGACGCAGCGACGCCGCGUGUGGG